rnacentral:rRNA from 1 species
GACGAACGCUGGCGGCGUGCUUAACACAUGCAAGUCGAACGGUGAAGCGCCUUCCUUUUUGGUGGGUGUGGAUGGGUGGCGAACGGGUGAGUAACACGUGAGUAACCUGCCCCCUUCUUCUGGAUAACCGCAUGAAAGUGUGGCUAAUACGGGAUAUUCUGGGUCUGUCGCAUGAUGGGUCUGGGGAAGAUAUUGUUUCGGUGGGGGAUGGGCUCGCGGCCUAUCAGCUUGUUGGUGGGGUGAUGGCCUACCAAGGCGGUGACGGGUAGCCGGCCUGAGAGGGUGAACGGUCCCACUGGGGCUGCGACACGGCCCAGACUCCGACGGGCGGCAGCAGUGGGGAUUAUUGCACAGUGGGCGCAAGCCUGCUGCAGCGACGCCGCGGGAGGGAUGGAGGCCUGCGGGUUGUGAACCUCUUUCGCCAGUGAAGCAGGCCUGCCUCGUUUGUGGGUGGGUUGACGGUAGCUGGAGAAGAAGCGCCGGCUAACUACGUG